AUUGAACGCUGGCGGCAGGCCUAACACAUGCAAGUCGAGCGGGGUUUUCGGACCUAGCGGCGGACGGGUGAGUAAUGCGUAGGAAGCUGCCCGAUAGAGGGGGAUACCAGUUGGAAACGACUGUUAAUACCGCAUAAUGUCUACGGACCAAAGUGUGGGACCUUCGGGCCACAUGCUAUCGGAUGCGCCUACGUGGGAUUAGCUAGUUGGUGAGGUAAUGGCUCACCAAGGCGACGAUCUUUAGCUGGUUUGAGAGGAUGAUCAGCCACACUGAAACUGAGACACGGUCCAGACUCCUACGGGAGGCAGCAGUGGGGAAUAUUGGACAAUGGGCGCAAGCCUGAUCCAGCCAUGCCGCGUGUGUGAAGAAGGCCUUCGGGUUGUAAAGCACUUUCAGCGAGGAGGAAGGGGUGUGUGUUAAUAGUACACACCUUUGACGUUACUCGCAGAAGAAGCACCGGCUAACUCUGUGCCAGCCGCCGCGGUAAGAC
rnacentral:rRNA from 1 species